rnacentral:rRNA from 1 species
CGGCCUCCCAGUGACUAAUUAAACGGCCGCGGUAUCCUAACCGUGCAAAGGUAGCAUAAUCACUUGUCUACUAAUUAUAGACUUGCAUGAACGGCUAAAUGAGGGCCUAACUGUCUCCCGUGAUUAAUCAAUGAAACUGAUCUUCCAGUACAAAAGCUGGAAUACACCCAUAAGACGAGAAGACCCUGUGGAGCUUUAAGCUCCAUUGCUAAUACAAUCAAUACCACCACCUCUAAAAUAAUUAUUUAACAAUGAGCUUUCAGUUGGGGCAACUUUGAAAAAAAAAAGAACUUUCAAGCCACCGGGCAAAAACCCUGUUAAGACCUACAAGCCGAAACAAUAAUUAUCAGACCCAGUCAUACUGAUCAACGAACCAAGUUACCCCAGGGAUAACAGCGCAAUCUUCUUCAAGAGUCCUUAUCGCCAAGAAGGUUUACGACCUCGAUGUUGGAUCAGGACACCCAAGUGGUGCAGCCGCUACUAAAGGUUCGUUUGUUCAACGAUUAACAGUCCUACGUGAUCUGA